rnacentral:rRNA from 1 species
CGUGUCGAUACUGGGCGUAAGAGCUCGUAGGUGGUUUGUCGCGUUGUUCGUGAAAACUCACAGCUUAACUGUGGGCGUGCGGGCGAUACGGGCAGACUAGAGUACUGCAGGGGAGACUGGAAUUCCUGGUGUAGCGGUGGAAUGCGCAGAUAUCAGGAGGAACACCGGUGGCGAAGGCGGGUCUCUGGGCAGUAACUGACGCUGAGGAGCGAAAGCGUGGGGAGCGAACAGGAUUAGAUACCCUGGUAGUCCACGCCGUAAACGGUGGGUACUAGGUGUGGGUUUCCUUCCUUGGGAUCCGUGCCGUAGCUAACGCAUUAAGUACCCCGCCUGGGGAGUACGGCCGCAAGGCUAAAACUCAAAGAAAUUGACGGGGGCCCGCACAAGCGGCGGAGCAUGUGGAUUAAUUCGAUGCAACGCGAAGAACCUUACCUGGGUUUGACAUGCACAGGACGCCAGUAGAGAUAUUGGUUCCCUUGUGGCCUGUGUGCAGGUGGUGCAUGGCUGUCGUCAGCUCGUGUCGUGAGAUGUUGGGUUAAGUCCCGCAACGAGCGCAACCCUUAUCUUAUGUUGCCAGCGCGUAAUGGCGGGGACUCGUGAGAGACUGCCGGGGUCAACUCGGAGGAAGGUGGGGAUGACGUCAAGUCAUCAUGCCCCUUAUGUCCAGGGCUUCACACAUGCUACAAUGGCCGGUACAAAGGGCUGCGAUGCCGUGAGGUGGAGCGAAUCCUUUCAAAGCCGGUCUCAGUUCGGAUCGGGGUCUGCAACUCGACCCCGUGAAGUCGGAGUCGCUAGUAAUCGCAGAUCAGCAACGCUGCGGUGAAUACGUUCCCGGGCCUUGUACACACCGCCCGUCACGUCAUGAAAGUCGGUAACACCCGAAGCCGGUGGCCUAACCCUUGUGGAGGGAGCCGUCGAAGUGGGAUCGGCGAUUGGGACGAAGUCGUAACAAGGUACCCG